UACACUCCCAAACCCAAUGUGAACGUUACCAAACUGUUGCCUCGGCGGGGUCACGCCCCGGGUGCGUAAAAGCCCCGGAACCAGGCGCCCGCCGGAGGAACCAACCAAACUCUUUCUGUAGUCCCCUCGCGGACGUAUUUCUUACAGCUCUGAGCAAAAAUUCAAAAUGAAUCAAAACUUUCAACAACGGAUCUCUUGGUUCUGGCAUCGAUGAAGAACGCAGCGAAAUGCGAUAAGUAAUGUGAAUUGCAGAAUUCAGUGAAUCAUCGAAUCUUUGAACGCACAUUGCGCCCGCCAGUAUUCUGGCGGGCAUGCCUGUCCGAGCGUCAUUUCAACCCUCGAACCCCUCCGGGGGAUCGGCGUUGGGGAUCGGGACCCCUCACCGGGUGCCGGCCCUGAAAUACAGUGGCGGUCUCGCCGCAGCCUCUCCUGCGCAGUAGUUUGCACAACUCGCACCGGGAGCGCGGCGCGUCCACGUCCGUAAAACACCCAACUUCUGAAAUGUUGACCUCGGAUCAGGUAGGAAUACCCGCUGAACUUAAGCAUAUCAAUAGCGGGAGGAAAAGAUACCAACAGGGAUUGCCCCAGUAACGGCGAGUGAAAGCGCAACAGCUCAUAUUUGAAAUCUGGCCCCUCCGGG
rnacentral:rRNA from 1 species